AGCGGUCCUGUCGGAGCGGAGGCGGAGCUGUCGCUGCUCCCGGGCUCUGUCGGGGCAGCUGCCGGGGCUCGCCCUCCUCGAGGCUGCCGCGCGUCCAGAGAACUGACGAGAAGGGAAAGGUGCUUCUUACUCCUGUUUUGUAGCUCACAUAGGUUCUGUUGGAUGCAGGAUGGUUUUUCGUGGGAGUUCUCAGCACUUCUGUGCAGGUCGGACUUCGGUGGUCCCUCCUCGGCAGGUCCACCUUGGUCGCAGUGCUUCUCGCCCGGCCCACAGGUCACUGGGAAGGCAGUGUGGAUGUUGUCCCUCCGCCUGGAAAAUGCUGCCCGUGGACCGUUGGUCUUUCUGUGUGAAAGCUGUGGCACUGCGUCAGGCUCAUCCAGCAACCCUAUAACGUCGUGCUGGGAAGUUCCUUGAAACAAACCAACAAAAGCACAAGAAGAAGGAAGCCCAUCAUAUGCCACAAAGGAUUGGAAUCAACAAAAGAUUUCUGAAACCACCCUCCCAUCUGCUGCACAUGGUACUCAUGAGGUGAGUAAUUGUUUGUUUAUUUAUUUGAAAGGCAAGGGAACAAAGAAAGAAAUAAGGAGAGCCUGAGUGAGAGAAAUCUUCAGGCUACAAGUUUACUCCCCAAAUGACUGUAAAGGCUGGGGCUGGCUCAGGCCAAAGCCAGGAGACUGGAGCACCAUGCAUGUUUCUGGAUUGGAAGCAGAAUGGCUGAGACUUGAAUUGGCGUUCCAAUAUAGGAUACUAAUGUGGCAAGUGAUGGCUUAAUGCCAGCCCUGAGUGAAUUUGUGGGUUUUUAUUGUUGUCUUUGUUGCUGUUAGGGCUGAGUGUGAUAGCUCAGUUGCUAAAUUCUCAUCUUGCAAGUGCUGUGGUUCCCUAUGGGCGCUCCUUUGUGUCCUGGC